rnacentral:lncRNA from 1 species
UUAAAAAAAAAGAAAAAUGUUAUUAUAAGAUAUUAAAAUGACAUUAUGGACUUUACGAUGAAAAAAAUUAGCAAACAAUUUUCAUUUUGUGUUUACUAUGCGAAACAUAAAUGCAGUUUUAAUCUAUAGUAUAAUAAAAUUAUAAUUAAAUAUACAAAAUAUUUUGUUCUUUAGUAUCUAAAAGGUACUGCCUGACAUUUAAACAAUAUAUAAGAUCUAUAACGCUAAACAUUUUUUAAUAAUUGAAUACCAAACAUCGUUAACUAUAUAAUAUAAAGUUUACCAUUCGACUUGUUUAUGAAGAUAAAAAAAAGAGAAUUAUUUACUUGUAUAUAUUUACAAAUUAUAAAUAUAAGACAUGUUUAACUAAAGUGACUACAUAUACAAUUAAUAAUAUUAGUCGAAUGGAAAAGUAGUUAUAAUUUUUUAAAGAUUACAUUACAACAUGAAACAUUAUAAUAAAAUUCCACACUACACAAGUUUUGCUUGGUAUGAACAAUAAUAAUACUAAACAGUCAUUAUCUUAAACUUAAGCUUUCCUGGUUGCUUUUUAUACUUCUGUUAAUAAUUUCUUUUCCUUCUUUAACUGGCAGCACCUUUGAUUUAAUAUUUAUUUAAAUAUAGAUGAAAUAUUGCAAUAUUUUGUGUUCCUUCUUGAUAAUCUAUAGAAACGAGCAUGACUAAUUUUUAGUACAACAUUAAUUGCAUCAUUAUAUUUUUAUUCCAAGUAUUUAUUAUAUUAAAAACCUUUUUUGUUGCUAAAUAUAUCUUUAUACCUUUUUGUAUCAAAAUAUUAAAAAUUAUAUGAACAUACCUUAGUAUAAAUCAUGCAAACAUAGAGUACACAUAUUAGACGUAUAUUCAAAUUGACAAAAUUGUAUGCUAUAUUUGUCUUUGCCUACUUCUCAAAUGAAAUAUUUGUAAAAAAUAGAUCAUUAUUUUUAAGAUUUAAUAAUCCAUAAAAAUAAUGAUUUUUUUUUUAAAUAAAAUGCCUUAAUGUAACUAUAAACGAACUUAUCAAUUAUUGUACAUUUCUUUUUUUUUUCAUUAAGAUUUCAAAAUUUUAUAUAUAAGACAUAUUUAUUUAUUUAAAAAUGGGUAAUUUUCAAUUAUUUCUUAUUUAGUAUAGAAUUUUGCCCGCCUCUAGUAAACAUUGUAACUCUUUAUGUAUUAAGAUCAUUUUUAAAUACAUAUAAACUUUGAAUCCAUAGAAAAAUUAGUAAUGAUAUGAGUUCAGCGUGUACAGAAUCACAAUCAUUCUAUAAAAUGCAUGUACAGAAGUAACCACAACCAGAACAAUCUUAGAUAUCCACGAUUUUUUUUCUUUUUAUAGUCUAUCAUUAUUAUCUUGCAAAUAUUGUUUCAAUUAUUAUUGUUUUUCCUUUUUUAUCAGGGUGACCACCAAUGGUUUCUUUUUCAAGAUCUUUUGUAAUUGUUUACUCUUCAAUUUUUGAUUUGUUAGAGCGCUUUUCUUUCUAUAAAUUCAUGUAUAAUUUUCAUAAAGUUAACAAUAAUUUUUUACAGUAAUUAGUACAAUAUUUAUAAUGAUUAUUACAUGGUAGUUAUAAUAUUGUGAAUUUUAUAAAUACAGUGUCAAUUGUAUUCCUAUUAUGCAAUUGUAACUUCACCUUAACCACAUUAUUUUUGUCAAUCUCAUAGAAUAGAUACUUUGCAAAGUAUAUUGUUAAAUGGUAUUUCGUUUUAUAACAUCAUGUAACAAAAUGUGGUCACCCUGAGAAAGUAUGUUGUACGAACGGUCUGUGCUUAUUCUUUGAUGUUUAAAAAGUUAUAUAUCAUACAUCGUUUAUCAGCUUUGUAUUUUAAGAAAAUGGAACAUCUUGUUUCAGAAAAUAUCUUCUCGGUCGUACAACAGGUUAAGUAAAAUAUUUCUUAUCGUAGUACACAUGCUUUAUAAUAGUACUAAUAUACUUUUUGUUUUCUUUUUUUUAUUAAAUCUAUAUUAAUUGUUUGUAGUUUUGUUUCUUUGCACUGUAAGAGAAUGACAAGCUUAAUAAUAAACAUUUCUUUCUUUCGCAAUAUAUCAAAUUGCUCACUACUGCGCUUUAGGCUAUAUGCAAACAUUAUUUAUACCGGAAGACGGUGUUGUUAUAUUGCAAAAAUACUAAAAUAUUUUAACGGGCGUACUUCCACAUAAUCCUGCAUACCUAAGGCGCGGAAAUCGAGUUAAUAUAAAUAGUUUUUCGAAUCAAAUUUCGUUUAGCUUGGUUAAAUAUAAAAGUACCAUAUUAACUUUAACUUAUCAUAUAAAGGUACAUCUGAAUGACACGAUUAGAAAUUGAAAAUACAGCUUCUACGCUUCACUCUUUCCAACAUUAAACCUUGAAGCUAUGUUUUCAAUUUGCGUUCAACAUUAUCAAUUACAUAUUAAAAAGUUAAAUUAGGAUUUAAAACUACACAAAUGUUAAACAUUAAUUGUCAUUAAUAUUGUUCUUCUCCCUCUAUUAUUAAUCAGGUAAGAGUUUAUGCGUUUAAAUUUUGAUGAGAUCAAUCAACUGGUACAAAUAAUUUAGUGUGUCAACCUCCGUCACAUCAGAAAUGCAGAAUUAUUUAUAGAAAUUAGAAACAUUAACAGAUCACAUUCAUUUCUCGCAGAACGUAACUUUAUUACUUUCAUAAAUCUGUUAAAAAUGGCACUGUUUUUACAGAUUGUACCUUGUGCACGUUACUACUUGUUUUUAUUCAUUUGAUUUGUGUAUUUCCUUUUCUUUAAUACUUGAAAUUAGUUCAAUGACUUUAAAUGAAUCAUUAAUUAAUCAAUAAAUAACCAAUAACUUUCCAAAGAAUAGUGUAAGAACUCGUGUUACAGUUUACAACAUUAUUUUGACAGUAAUUAUUGAUAUUUAACAAUAUGAGGAUGCAAAUGACUGACAAUUUUCUAAGAAUACAUAUAAGCUAGUAAAUUUAAUACCUCAAUCUUUUUACUUAUAUUAAAAUAGCAAUGAAUCUUUACCAUACAAAAUGCAAUUGAAAACAGAUACAAUAUCAAUGCACAGCAAAGUAAAAUGCAUCAAGUGAAAUGCAAGUUUAUAAAAAACCAUGUCAAAAUAAUGCAUAAGUUAUUAAAACAUUUUCUCACGAUUCUUACAAAUUUCAUUGUGCAAUUUCUGAUUAAUGAUUCAAAAGUUGUAUGGGCUUGCUCUUAUUUUAUGCUCGAAUGUGCAAGUAUUAUUUUUUUAUGUUUUUCUUUUUCUAUUAGUUGUCAAUCUUAAUAAUUCGUAAAAGAUGCACCUCGAAGAUUUACGUCAACGAGCGAUCGCACAAUUAAAAGUUUACAGCCUUUCCUCGUAUGUAAAAUAUUUAUAUCUUCAUAAAUACCGACAUACCGAACGAUAAGAUCUAAGUAGAGAAAUUGUUAUUACAUAAUCACAGUUGUACAGCCAUUUGCUACCUCGUAUUUAAAUACAAAAAUGCUUAGAUAUCAGUACCGUAGAACUCGAUCAUUUUUUUUAAUAUACUUUGUGUUUCUGUAAUUUCAGUCUGAUCAUUAUUAUCAAAGAAAAAGGAACAGGGCGCAAACAGGACGUGUUUUGGGAGGUCACUAUUGGAAAUCGCCAAUUAUAAAAACUUGUGCAAUUAAAAUCAUAUACGAGUUUACAAUCUAAGCAGUUUUGCAAUACUAUAACGGAUAAUAAUACGAAUAUUUCAAAGAGCAUACGUUCACAUAAUAAUUGCAGUAACACCAGAUACUAUAAAAUUGGAUCAUUAUCAACAAUGUGUCCACGUUUGCAUAAUGAAUGAAACAAUGUGUUAGAAGGCUGAAAAUAGAAGAUGAAAUAGAAACAGUGAUAAUGUAGCAAGAAAAAAACAAAGCAUCCACUAUUUUUUCUUUGUUUCCCACAAUAUUGAGCAGUCACUGUAGCAAACAAGAACACAUUCUACAAUGAAUCAAAUCAAUUUGUUUUUUUUUUUUUUAGUCAGAGUACUGUUUAUCGGAAUUCAUAUACUGCUACUAUAUCUAAAUAACAAAUGCAUUAGUCAUAUAUCAAAACUACAAGUGAUUAAAGAAUGUGCAGAUAAUUCUCCCUCGAUGUUAAGGAACCAUCAUCUGCCCUUUUAUAUCUGAUCACAAAUCCUUUCGACAAAUGAAACAACAGGCAAUCUCUUCAACGUUCAACUAGUGCAUAAAUAAACGUUCGCAAUAUGGCUCUUAUGACUUCAAUAAUGUUUAACACAGGAGAAGAAUCAUUCGCACAAAACAGAGCAUGUAACGUUUUGUAUUUAUAUUAUUGUAACUUGUCAAAAAUAUAUUGUUCAAUUUGAUCCUGCCCUAUUGUUGGUUUUCUUUGUGCAGUGUUCAACGAAAAUCCAAUUGAUCAUAAAUUGUUCUUACAUGAACGUACUUUGACAAUUAAGUUUGAAAUAUUUAGUUUAUAUAAAGUUUUUACAAUUAUGAGAUUCAACAUAUUCAAGAUUGUAUAGUACUUUGAAGUACUAUUCUUUCGUAUGAUACUUAACGUGUUAACUAUCAUGUUUCUAUUAUCCACAAUUUCAAAUACCUAUUACAAGUGUUUUUGAUUAAGUAAAUGAAAAAACAUAAUAUGAAUGAUGGGUUCAUAAGUAGGCAAUCAGUUAAUGCGUUAAAUUAAAUGAAAGUAUAAUGAAAAAGAAGAAAAAUGAUAGCACCUAAAGUUAUAUUAAAAUUAUACACAUUUUGCAGAUUGUAAUAGAAAGAAGAGAAAGCAAUCACCGAAACCAACAACUUGGGCAGUACUAUAUAAAUAUUCAACUGUAUGUUUUCUUUAAUACACAGUAUUAGCUAAUUAAUUUAUUUUGUUAUUCUCCUAUUACCCUAUUUUGUAGCUAAAUUUGUUGCUUUCACAAUAAUUUAUGUUCUUAUUAAUAAUAUUUUAAUUGUGUUAUUGUUAUAAGUAAAAUAGUACAUAUAUUGUAUUGUUUAUAAUAUUCAAUAUUAUAUAUCAUUCAGGAAUAUCUUUCCUAGAUUUUCACGCAGCUCACCGUAAUCAAGAUACACUCCAACUUUAUACAAAAUAACAUUGUUUCAUCUAUAUAGUAUCUGUAUCGAUACUAUACAUUAUAUACUACACAAACAAGUACACAUUUGAUGUUAAAGCGUAACACAAACCAUCUUUCACUUCCAUAAUUAGUAUUUAUAUAAAUAUAAUCUACUAGAGAGAACAUCAUGAUUACGAGAAGUCGGUGAAAUGGGCAUUCUUUACAAGUACGUUUAGCAACAAAUUGCUACCAUAUUAAAAUUGUUUUAUCUUCUACUAUUUCUAUCGGAAGGUAGAGAAAGUUCUUUUUCAUCUUUUAGAGGUAUGUAAUAAUAACAAUGUAACAAUCGACGAUUUUAAAAAGGAAACAGAAAACGAGGAAUAGUAUCUUUAAGAUAAAAUAUAUUCAAAGUAUUUGACAAUAAAUAUUUUUGUUUUUUAAAGACUUGCUCUGUGGUUGUUGUACUUAUAAAGAAUGCAUUUAAAAAACAUAAUUGAAAAAUGCAUUAUUAUAGUGCUAAAUUGAUUAAAUUCUAAAUAGUACUUUGAAAAUUGUAUCAUGGUGCAUACGAUCCACAGCGAAAUCAAGAUAUUUAUAUUUUUUCACCACACUACAUGUAAUAUAAUAUAUAAUCUAUUU